GCCCGGGUAGCUCAAUCGGUAGAGCGUGUGGCUCUUAUGAAUGGUUUCAUUCAUCUGAACGAGACAAAUCACUAGAACACCUCAAGGUCGUGGGUUCGAGCCCCACCUCGGGCU